UGUUGCGUGCUGGUAGGAGCACAGAGGUUUUCAUGCUCCUAAAUCGUUUUCGAUUUUGAAGCUUUCGAAUCGACGAUCGAUUUUGUUAGACUUGAUCUAACGUAUUGAACGUAUCUAGAAAAUAAAUUUUACGAUUUUUCGAUAUCAUUUAUCUAGCAAUUAAAAAAAUUCAAAAUUAAUAAUUUUUAAUGGUUGAUGUAUAUUAUUUGCAAGUUUAAUGGUAUAAAAGUAUUCAAAUCAGAUAAAAUUUUGACAGAAAAUUCUUUAUACUAUUUGCUGCAUGAUCAAUAUCUCUGAUAAAAAAUUUUAGUAUUAUAUCACUACGUUUUAUGAGAUUUUUAUUUUCAGCCGUUUAUUUUAAACUCUUUCGAUUGCUAGGUAAAUGAUAUCGAAAAACUAUAAAAUUUAUUUUCUAAAUACUUCAAGUACUCAAUAUUAAAUCUAACGGAAUCGAUCGUCGAUUCGAAAGUUUCAUCAUAAAAAAUAAUUUAAAAGUACGAAGGCCUCCAUGCUCCAAAUAGCAUACUAGACCUACUCAAACAUACGUUCGAUAAUCUUAUAAUG
rnacentral:lncRNA from 1 species